rnacentral:rRNA from 1 species
GAUGAACGCUGGCGGCGUGCCUAAUACAUGCAAGUCGAGCGAACGGACGAUAAGCUUUCUUCUCUGAUGUUAGCGGCGGACGGGUGAGUAACACGUGGAUAACCUACCUAUAAGACUGGGAUAACUUCGUGAAACCGGAGCUAAUACCGGAUAAUAUUUUGAACCGCAUGGUUCAAAAGUGAAAGACGGUCUUGCUGUCACUUAUAGAUGGAUCCGCGCUGCAUUAGCUAGUUGGUAAGGUAACGGCUUACCAAGGCAACGAUGCAUAGCCGACCUGAGAGGGUGAUCGGCCACACUGGAACUGAGACACGGUCCAGACUCCUACGGGAGGCAGCAGUGGGGAAUAUUCCGCAAUGGGCGCAAGCCUGACGGAGCAACGCCGCGUGAGUGAUGAAGGUCUUCGGAUCGUAAAACUCUGUUAUUAGGGAAGAACAUAUGUGUAAGUAACUGUGGACAUCCUGACGGUACCUAAUGAGAAAGCAACGGCUAACUACGUA